CUGACUUGCUAUUUUUAUAUUAGUCACGUACACUUCCUCCCACAAACCAGCUGCACCCCUACCUUGGCACAGAAACAUGAGUUUGAAGGCUCUGUACUUACUCCACUGGACAAGUUCAGUCAUGCAUUAAUCCGAAACGUCCAGCUCUUUCUGAGAAACAAAAAUGCAGAUUUUACAUAAAAGAUGCUUGCACUCUCUGUUAUGUACUUCACAUGAGCGGUGUCCAACCAUGGCUGGUAGUGUUCUUGGAUGAAGCUGUCCCAGCAACUUUUGCGAAGCCAACACUUUGCCUUCUUCCUUGGGAUGUUGUUUCACUGAAAACAGGCAGGAGACUCGUCUUUCUCGUUGGUAUUUUGGUGGAGUCUCCUCCUGCACAGCUGCCUGUUUAACACACCCACUGGAUUUAAUUAAGGUGCACUUACAGACACAGCAGGAAGUCAGGGUGAGGAUGGUUGGGAUGACGAUGUUAACCUGGCGAGGAGAGAAGGUUUUCUGGUUCUCUACGGUGGCCUCGGCGUCGUCAGAUUACAUAUUCUUUGUCAAGGUUUGCCGUUUAUGAGACAAGAUGACCGGAGAGAACAAAGGCUUUUGGAGUUCAGUAUUGCUAUUGCACUGAGGCUGAAGUGCACAAUCCCCUCAUCAAAUCCAUUAUAAAAAAACCUACAAGGUGGUCAUUCCUAUGUUCCAAGGGUGUGUUUCACUGUCUGAUGGAAACAGCAAAACUGGGCCUGAAGGCAUUUUACAAGGUGGAUGUCACCUUCAAGAAGUGUUUUGGGUUUUUUUUAGCACUGCUCCUUCAGGGCCCAAAACAUGAUUUUUUAAAUAUGUUAAUUAAUAAUUGUACAGCCUAAAUGUUGCAGUUUUUUAAAAUGUCUUUAGACUUUUCCUUUGCUGAAAUAACCAUAUGAUUUGUGUCCAGGGUCUUGUUCCUGCAACUAUCUGUCUCAGCCCGCACACAGUCUUCACUUCCAUGUUUGCUUUUCAAACAACUGAGGUAGCAUUUCAGUGCAGUGGUUGUCACCUGAGGAGAAGGAAGAGAUUCCUGAAGUUGCUGUAGUCAUCCUUUACAAUUUGAGUGGUUCUUUAUGUGGGACAACUUCAUCAUUGAUGCUAACUGAACCAUCCAUAACACUAUACAAUAUUUAAAUAAACAUUAUGCAAUAUUUUUUGUCAUUAGAAACACAAAUGACUUGAAUUAUCAGGCUGUGUGUCGAUACACUUCACGAUUGUGUUCCACUACCUGUAAAAGAAGAAACUGCAUUUAAAACUGAACUGAUAAAUCUACUAAUCCAAGUAGGCCUCUUUUGCUCUUUGGGCGUGAAACUUGAAACUUUUCCAAUUUUGUAAAAUGUUUUCAAAGUUGUGGUGGGAGGCAUCAUUCUCACUUUUUCCAUCAUGAAGUUAAGAGUCAAAAUUUAUCCCUGAGGGGAUGUUUCAUUGUUCAAUCCAUUUCUGAAAAGUGCACAAAGGAAAAAUUCUGUAAUUGAAUAAAUUAAUUUCAACUAUG